AAAUAUAAUAAUGCACACAAAUGUAAAAUAUUGCUAAACAAAAUAAUUUAAACCUGGAUACGUCGUCAAUAUUACAGCAGCCACGAAAUGUCCCAUUUUGAAGAAUAUAUAUUAUUGCACAAUAGUUAUUAAACAAUCAUUUGCUUAUUCAGGGAAAUAAUCUGUUUUUUUUUUGACUGGUAGAAUUUUGGAAUGACUAGCUCUGGGAAGAACCUCUCUUUCUCGAGUCUAAAACAUUUAGACUUAAGACUUGAGAAAAGGAGGUUCUCCCAAAGGCUUGUCAUUCCAAAAUUAUGUUAGUCCAACAAAAAAGUUAUUACAAGAUACAAGUUUCAUCUGUUAUUUAGAUCUGCAUCACUGAACUAAGACGGCUACAAUCUCUACUCUAACAUGUUCACUGAUAGUCAAGUAUCUUCAAUUAUCAAAUUAUAUCGCCUUAAUCUCUUGGCUAUUUUACAACUCUACAAAUAAUAUCAAAUGCUUACACAUAUACAUUUGUGCUCAAAAGUUUGCAUACACUGGCAGAAAUUGUGAAAUUUUGGCAUUGAUUUAAAAAAUAUGACUGAUCAUGCAAAAAAAUUAUUUUAUUGAAGGAUAGGGAUCAUAUGAAGCCAUUUAUUAUCAAAUAGUUGUAUGAGUCCUUUUAAAAUCAUAAUGAUAACAUAAAUCACCCAAAUAGCCCUCAUCAAAAGUUUACAUACCCUUAAGUGUUUGGCCUUGUUACAGACACACAAGAUGUCACACACAGGUCAACAAAGCUUAUAGUGAAAAGAAGACCAUCCCCACUGUGAAGCAUGGUGGUGGCUCACUGAUGUUUUGGGGAGUGUGAGCUCUAAAGGCACGGGAACCUUGCGAAAAUCUAUGUCAAGAUGAAUGCAGCAUGUUAUCAGAAAAUACUGGUAGACAAUUUGCAUUCUUCUGCACAAAGGCUAUGCAUGGGACGCUCUUGGACUUUCCAGCAUGACAAUGACCCUAAGUCCUCCAGUGGUUACAGCAAAAAAGGUGAAGGUUUUGGAGUGGCCAUCACAGUCUAUUGACCCUAAAUAUCAUUGAGCCACUCUGGGGAGAUCUCAAAUGUGCGGUUCAUGCAAGAUGAGCAAAGAGGCAUGACAUGAA